rnacentral:rRNA from 1 species
GAUGAACGCUGGCGGCGUGCCUAAUACAUGCAAGUCGAGCGAACAGAUGCGAAGUUUCUUCCUCUCUCGUUAGCCGCGCACGGGUGAGUAACACGUGGAUACCCCCCUUCUAUUCCUGGUAUAACUUCGGAACUCCGGCGCUUAUCCCGGAUAAUAUAUUGAACCGUAUGGUUCAAUAGUGAAAGUCGGUUUUGCUGUCACUUCUAGAUGUAUCCGCUCCGUAUUAGCUAGUUGGUAUGGUAACGGCUUACCAAGGCAACGAUGCGUAGCCGACCUGAGAGGGUGAUCGCGCACACUGGAACUGAGACACGGUCCAGACUCCUACGGGAGGCAGCAGUAGCGAAUCUUCCGAAAUGGGCGAAAGCCUGACGGAGCAACGCCGCGUGGGUGAUGAGGGGCUUCGGGUCGUAAAACUCUGUUAGUGGGGAAGAACAAAUGUGUAAGUAACUAUGCACGUCUUGACGGUACCUAAUCAGAAAGCCACGGCUAACUACGUG